GACGAACGCUGGCGGCGUGCCUAAUACAUGCAAGUUGAGCGCUGAAGGUUGGUACUUGUACGAACUGGAUGAGCAGCGAACGGGUGAGUAACGCGUGGGGAAUCUGCCUUUGAGCGGGGGACAACAUUUGGAAACGAAUGCUAAUACCGCAUAAAAACUUUAAACACAAGUUUUAAGUUUGAAAGAUGCAAUUGCAUCACUCAAAGAUGAUCCCGCGUUGUAUUAGCUAGUUGGUGAGGUAAAGGCUCACCAAGGCGAUGAUACAUAGCCGACCUGGGAGGGUGAUCGGCCACAUUGGGACUGAGACACGGCCCAAACUCCUACGGGAGGCAGCAGUAGGGAAUCUUCGGCAAUGGACGAAAGUCUGACCGAGCAACGCCGCGUGAGUGAAGAAGGUUUUCGGAUCGUAAAACUCUGUUGGUAGAGAAGAACGUUGGUGAGAGUGGAAAGCUCAUCAAGUGACGGUAACUACCCAGAAAGGGACGGCUAACUACGUGCCAGCCGCCGCUGUAA
rnacentral:rRNA from 1 species